CGCUGGUUGUUUCCGGCAAGUUCUUGAAUAUGUCAGGAAAUAUACCAUUAAAUAUUAAUAUCAAGGAGCCCCGAUGGGAUCAAAGCACUUUUGCUGGACGAGCCAAUCACUUCUUUACUGUAACAGACCCCCGGAAUAUUUUGUUAUCUAAUGCUCAGCUGGAAAAUGCAAGAAAAAUUGUGCAUGAUUACAGACAAGGUAUUGUGUCACCUGGCUUGACAGAAGAUGACUUGUGGAGAGCAAAAUAUAUCUAUGAUUCAGCCUUUCACCCAGACACUGGUGAAAAGAUGAUCUUGAUUGGCCGAAUGUCAGCUCAGGUACCCAUGAACAUGACUAUCACAGGUUGUAUGAUGACCUUUUAUAGAACGACACCAGCGGUGCUUUUCUGGCAGUGGAUUAACCAGUCCUUCAAUGCUGUAGUAAAUUACACAAACAGGAGCGGUGAUGCCCCGAUUACUGUCAGCCAGCUGGGAACAGCCUAUGUUUCUGCUACCACAGGUGCUGUUGCAACAGCCUUAGGACUUAAUGCACUAACAAAGCAUGUCUCACCUCUUAUAGGACGGUUUGUUCCAUUUGCUGCUGUUGCUGCUGCUAACUGCAUUAAUAUUCCACUAAUGAGGCAAAGAGAAAUCAAGUGUGGAAUCCCUGUCAUGGAUGAGAAUGGAAACAGACUGGGUGACUCAUCAAAAGCAGCUCAGCAGGCAAUUGCCCAGGUGGUUAUAUCAAGGAUUCUUAUGGCUGCUCCUGGCAUGGCAAUUCCUCCUUUCAUAAUGAAUACAUUGGAAAAGAAAGCCUUUUUAAAGAUCAGCAAAAAUGAGCGAUUUCUUCAGUGACUACUCAGUGGUCUUUGGUACCGUCAUGACCGUUUAUGCUCACCUGUUCCACCCCCUCAGCCUCAAAGACUGUGAGUUCAGAGGUAUCCUUGGAUGAGUGCUCCCAUUCAAGUUGGAUUAGUUGGAUUCUGUCUUGUGUUUGCCACACCCCUGUGUUGUGCACUGUUUCCUCAAAAAAGUUCUAUGUCUGUAACACGCUUGGAGCCAGAAUUGGAAGCCAAGAUCCGAAAGAACAGCCCUGAAGUAGAACGUGUAUACUUUAAUAAAGGAUUAUAAUUCAAGGAAGGGAAAGUAUCUUUCAA